UUGAGAGUUUGAUCCUGCUCAGAUUGAACGCUGGCGGUAUGCUUAACACAUGCAAGUCGAACGGUAGCAGGCCUUCGGGCGCUGACGAGUGGCGGACGGGUGCGUAAUGCAUAGGAAUCUGCCUAUUAGUGGGGGAUAACGUGGGGAAACUCACGCUAAUACCGCAUACGAUCUACGGAUGAAAGCUGGGGACCUUCGGGCCUGGCGCUAAUAGAUGAGCCUAUGUUGGAUUAGCUAGUUGGUAGGGUAAAGGCCUACCAAGGCGACGAUCCAUAGCUGGUCUGAGAGGAUGAUCAGCCACACUGGGACUGAGACACGGCCCAGACUCCUACGGGAGGCAGCAGUGGGGAAUAUUGGACAAUGGGCGAAAGCCUGAUCCAGCAAUACCGCGUGUGUGAAGAAGGCCUGAGGGUUGUAAAGCACUUUCAAUGGGAAGGAAUACCUGCCGGUUAAUACCCGGUAGACUGACAUUACCCAUACAAGAAGCACCGGCUAACUCCGUGCCAGCAGCCGCGGUAAUACGGAGGGUGCAAGCGUUAAUCGGAAUUACUGGGCGUAAAGCGUGCGUAGGCGGUUAUUUAAGUCAGAUGUGAAAGCCCUGGGCUUAACCUGGGAACUGCAUUUGAUACUGGAUGACUAGAGUUGAGUAGAGGAGAGUGGAAUUUCAGGUGUAGCGGUGAAAUGCGUAGAGAUCUGAAGGAACACCAGUGGCGAAGGCGGCUCUCUGGACUCAAACUGACGCUGAGGUACGAAAGCGUGGGUAGCAAACAGGAUUAGAUACCCUGGUAGUCCACGCCGUAAACGAUGUCAACUAACCGUUGGGUUCUUAAAGAACUUAGUGGUGGAGCUAACGUAUUAAGUUGACCGCCUGGGGAGUACGGCCGCAAGGCUAAAACUCAAAUGAAUUGACGGGGGCCCGCACAAGCGGUGGAGCAUGUGGUUUAAUUCGAUGCAACGCGAAGAACCUUACCUACCCUUGACAUCCGGAGAAUCUGUGAGAGAUCGUAGAGUGCCUUCGGGAACUCUGAAAACGGGUGCUGCAAGGGCUGUCGUCCACCUCGGGUCCGGGAAAAGUUGGGG
rnacentral:rRNA from 1 species